CUUCUGGAAGUCUUGGACUUCCAGGGCUCUGACCCUACUGUCCAAGCCCGAAGAUAAGUCUUGGGCGGGACAGGGCUGCCUGCCAUCCUGGACGUUUUUGAUUUCCAGGGUCUCUGACCACCGGCCGAGCCUGACGAGGUGUCCAGGGCACACAUGCAAGCGGGACAGGGCCGCCUGCCGUCCUGGAAGUCUUGGACUUCUAGGGUCUUUGACCCUACCGGCUGAGCCCGACGAGAAGUCUUGGACUUCUGGGAAGUCUUGGACUGUUCUGGAAAGGGAACAACGUAAAGCUAGGCAAACACUAAACAUACUAGCCUAAACUGAACUAUAAACUUCACAGUAAACUAAACUUUAAAUAACUAGACUUAAUAGACUUCACACAGGAAACAUACAAACGAAUCAGCACAGGACAGCAAACACAAGCUUAUCAAGGAGGCAACAGGUGUAGGGCAUAUAACAGUAGCAAGAUAAUUAACCCAAUUAACACCAAAGAAAACAAUGACCAUGUGCUUCCACACAAAACAAGUAAAGUUGUCACGAUCCUGACAAAAGGACUAGAAAAGCAUGAAUGAUAGAGGCAGGAUCGUGACAUAUGGUGAAAUUGUCAUAUUUUUGUCUUUAACCUCUUCUGUGAGUUCAGUUUCUUUUACAGAUAAUAAAAACACUUGAUAGAAUGUUGUUGGAUGAACAACUCAUCAUCAAUGAUGAGGCACUUGAGGAGUGGCAGGCUGUGCAGAAGGGCACAUCUCAAAACAUGCAGCUGGACAAUAAGAGAAAUCGUGCUGUAUCAUGUAAACGGAUCCAAAUGACUGAUGGAAAGCUCUUCAUACAGACAUUAGUCAAUCAGAACACCUGAGAGGGUGCUGCACAUUCACUGUGCUAAAAAUUUGAAGACAACUCAGAGACUGAAAAGACUUAAAACAACACCACUUAAACACUGAAAGACUGAUCUUAAAAACCCUAAAUUAGAUAAAAUAACAAAAACUCUGUGUGACUAUAGGGGCGGUUUCCCGAACAGGGAUUAGACUAGUCCAGCGCAACACUUGUGGAAACUCUCUGCUCCACAACAUAGGGCAUCUCAGGUGCUGUGAGCAAAUCACUCCACCAAAGUAGCAGUGCUUCACCUUCUGAGAAUAUAGUUCCCAGUAUGUAUACGGUUAAGAGAUGGCUGUCUUAAAUUACCUUGUUUGUACGCACUGUGACUAUACAAAUCACAACAUAUAAAUAGGAAAAUGUUGAUGCUAUUUAGUCACUUAUUGGGAACACCAUGCUAGCUGAAGCCAUUUACUUCCAGUCUCUAU